GACGAACGCUGGCGGCGUGCCUAAUACAUGCAAGUAGAACGCUGAAGAGAGGAGCUUGCUCUUCUUGGAUGAGUUGCGAACGGGUGAGUAACGCGUAGGUAACCUGCCUUGUAGCGGGGGAUAACUAUUGGAAACGAUAGCUAAUACCGCAUAACAAUGGAUGACACAUGUCAUUUAUUUGAAAGGGGCAAUUGCUCCACUACAAGAUGGACCUGCGUUGUAUUAGCUAGUAGGUGAGGUAAUGGCUCACCUAGGCGACGAUACAUAGCCGACCUGAGAGGGGGAUCGGCCACACUGGGACGGAGACAAGGCCCAGACUCCUACGGGAGGCAGCAGUAGGGAAUCUUCGGCAAUGGGGGCAACCCUGACCGAGCAACGCCGCGUGAGUGAAGAAGGUUUUCGGAUCGUAAAGCUCUGUUGUAAGUCAAGAACGGGUGUGAGAGUGGAAAGUUCACACUGUGACGGUAGCUUACCAGAAAGGGACGGCUAACUACGUG
rnacentral:rRNA from 1 species